CUUCAUUUUCUUUUUGGAAACUGCAAACUGUCAUCUAGAUUUCCACGUACAGGGUGUUCAAAGCAUACAAAAUAUAUGCAUUUAAUAUCAAAGAUUUUCAUGUACAAAGUGUUUAAAGUUAUUGGUAAAUUUUCAUCUUCAAACUUGUCAGAUUUUUUACCCUCUGGCUUGUGUUUGUUUGUUUUCAUCUCUGUAUUCUUUUUGAAAUUUGGUUUUGUCAUCGUCUGUCUGUUGCUUUUAAUAUUUUUGGCAUUGGUGAAUUGCAUGAUAGAGUUUCUGUCCAUAAUAUAAGCAUUAGGCUUCUACUUUCUAAAGAUUUCGUCACGCAUCAGUUUUAGCCUUCCCUGUUCUCUUCUGUUGAUUCGUAAUGAUAUUGUUCUUGUUUGUUCCCCAGAUAUUAAAAUCAUGGAAGCAGAGGUACAAGCUUUAGAAGAACUUUCAAAGCAGCUUUUCCUGGAAAUAUAUGAGCUUCGCCAAGCCAAGGAGGCAGCUGCUUUUUCUCGGACCUGGAGGGGUCACAUGCAGAAUCUACUUGGCUAUGCAUGUUCUGUCUAUUGUGUGUAUAAAAUGAUCAAGGUAUGGUUAUCACAUUGCUUGACAGGUGUUCAAUAUCUUUUGGGAUACUUCAUUUCAGUGAAAGGUUAUCAUGUAAUGUGAAAGAAGUUGUCAACAUGAAGUGAACAGGACUUCUUCUUUAAUUAAAAAGAUAUUCCUCAAGUCCCCUCACAAACAGAGAAAAAAGUCUGAUUUUUCAGUAAAUUAUACCCACCCUUGUCAUCUACAGUUAGAAUAUAAAUUGUCACAAGGUAUUGAAUGAAAAUCUUUUUGGUUUAUUCAUUGCACACAAUUCUACCAAUGGCAAUGCUUUUCUUUUUUUUUACUUUUUCCUCAAUGAAAAGGAAUUUUGGAUUGGUCAUUCAAUGUAAUUCUUUUUUCUUAUUUCAAUUUCAUGUAUGAAUAAGGUGACUGAUUACUGUACUUACUUUUGCAGUCUUUGCAAAGCGUUAUUUUCAAGGAGGCUGGCUCAGUAGAUCCUGUGACUAGGACUAUCAGCAUAUUCUUGCAGUUCUUUGAUAUAGGAAUCAAUGCUGCAUUACUAUCACAGUACAUUUCGUUGUUAUUCAUUGGAGUGUUGGUUGUUAUAUCAGUUCGGGGGUUCUUAACCAAUCUGAUGAAGGUAAUUUUGCUUUUUCUUUUAUCAGUUUUUGCAAUUUACGCACUAUAGGAGUCUGUCUAGAAGGAUGAAUUUCAGCCUUUAGCUUGUGGAUGAAUGGCUGUAUUUUGUCUAUGCAAGUGUUGAACAAAAAAAAGAUGCUAUAUGAAUAAUUCAAUUCAACUCAACUCAGUCUCAUUUCCAAUUUAGUUGAGUUCUGCUAAGUUUUGGGUUAUUUUAUAUGGCAUCUCCCCUGCCCCAGUCCCCAUCCAAAUGAAAGAUUUCGACCUUGUUUGGGUUGAUGUACCCGGCUGCUAGCCCAGAUAAAGGACAACGGUUAAAUUAGGUGAAAUAGUUUGAAAGUAAUUGAAAAGUAAAAUGGAAGCAGCUUAUCUUGGAGAUUGACUAGAAGCGUUUGCCUGUGUGCAGUUUUUCUUUGCAGUUUCCAGAGUAGGGAGUGGAUCUUCAAGUAACGUUGUACUUUUUCUGUCUGAAAUUAUGGGAAUGUACUUUGUCUCUUCUAUUCUUUUGAUAAGGAAAAGCUUAGCAAAUGAAUACAGUGAACACCUGAAAUUUGUCGGCUGGGUUCAAUUGGGCUAGCUAACAUACAUCAAGAAGAUGCUAUUUGAAUACUAUUGCCAGAGGAACCAGAAAUUACUCCAAAACAUAUGUGCAAUCAGGAAAAAAAAGGGACUUGUGUUGGAAAGCUUAUCAGCCAAAUUGCAGUAGUAUUGCAAUGUUCAAGUCCCAAGAACAAAAAAAUGUUGAUUCAAAAUUUCUUUUUAAUAGUUUCCAGCAGUGAAAAAGACCCCCAAUCCCUGUUUUUUGGUUGAUAAAAAGCAAACUAAGUAAAUGUGACGCCAAAAUCACAAGAAUAGAGAUGAGAUUUCUUUCCCUUGAAUGCAUAUAUAUAAGUAGGAUCAGGUGGCUGCAUAUAUAUGAGUAGGAUCAGGUGGCUGCUAAUUAAUCAUUCGAUGCAUGAUUAUAAAUGACAAGGACCUUAUUCCCACAUAAUCAUACUGCAUGUGAAGUUGCAAACUGUUCUUGAUUUUAUCUAAUGGGGUAUCUCUUGGCAGGAUGAUCAUAACAGAUGUAUUGGGAGGAGAUAUUCAGUUUGAUUUCUAUCACCGGUGGUUUGAUGCCAUCUUCGUAGCAAGUGCUUUCCUUUCUCUGCUUUUGCUUUCUGCACAUUAUACAUCACGACAAUCUGACAAACACCCAGUUGAUUGAUAUACUCAUCGUGCAAGUAUCAGUCAAUGAAAUAUCUUAGUUCUUGAUCAAUUGAAGCAGCUGUAAAAAAUUUCCCAAAUUUGAAUCAUCACAUGACCAGUUCUUAAGCCUUUAAUCAAUAUGACAGUACAGAUAAAAAAAAUUACUGAAAAUGCAGUGAAAAGAUUAUAGGACACUGUAGACAAGGACUUAAUUUUACAGAGUCAACAAUGGUUUUUGUGUAUUCAUCAAUGUGUAAUAGAACUUUUGUAAUUAACUUUGAUUGAUGAUGAUGUGUUACUCAAAUACUCGAUUCCAUUUAUUCAUAAGCUUUCAACGUGUUCUUCCUAUUCAACUGUAAAUUCUAACAGUUGCAUUGGCAGUCAUUAUAAUGCAGUAAUGAUGGUAUGUGUGGCGGGGGAAAUUUUAAAUUACUUCCGGUACAUUUUUCUCUUACAAAAAAUGUGAGUCCUCCAUAAAGUAAGGACAGUGGCUCCAUAGCAUGUGCGCUAGAUGCAUUGAGUAAUAGACUCAUAUUGAGGCAGGUUCACGGCGCUGUGGCAACGGAAGUUUGUACAGGAUUGUCUCCAACUUUUGUCUGAGUGUUUCUGUUCAAGGUUUCUAACUUUCUAUUGUUUCCGUAGUACUCUUUCUACUCAAAUUUCAAAUUAGAAUAUCUUCGUGCAUAUUGAGAAUGAUUUAGUAACAUAAAUGCUAGUACUUUCCUCCCUUUAUUGUAACACAGAAGAUAGACAAACAUUAAAAUUG
rnacentral:misc_RNA from 1 species